ACAUGCGCCUUUUGGUAUUCCAGAAGGCAUGCUUGUUUGAGCGUCAUUUCUCCCUCAAACCUUUGGGUUUGGUGUUGAGCAAGACGAUUCAGAGUUUGCUUGAAAUAUAUUUUAGUUAUUACAAAGGAUAGGUUCUACCAAAUCUUUGUAUAGAUGACUAUAUUUAUAAAUCCAAAUUCGACCUCAAAUCAAGUAGGACUACCCGCUGAACUUAAGCAUAUCAAUAAGCGGAGGAAAAGAAACCAACAGGGAUUGCCUUAGUAGCGGCGAGUGAAGCGGCAAAAGCUCAAAUUUGAAAUCUGGUACUUUCAGUGCCCGAGUUGUAAUUUGAAGAAGGUAUCUUUGGACCUGGCUCUUGUCUAUGUUCCUUGGAACAGGACGUCACAGAGGGUGAGAAUCCCGUGCGAUGAGAUGCUCCAGGUCUAUGUAAAGUUCCUUCGAAGAGUCGAGUUGUUUGGGAAUGCAGCUCUAAGUGGGUGGUAAAUUCCAUCUAAAGCUAAAUAUUGGCGAGAGACCGAUAGCGAACAAGUACAGUGAUGGAAAGAUGAAAAGAACUUUGAAAAGAGAGUGAAAAAGUACGUGAAAUUGUUGAAAGGGAAGGGCUUGAGAUCAGACUUGAUAUUUUGUAUGUUGUUCUUUCGGGGGCAGCCUCUACAGUUUAUCGGGCCAGCAUCGGUUUGAACGGUAGGAUAAUGGUAAAGAAAUGUGGCAUCACUUGUGAUGUGUUAUAGUCUUUAUUGAUACUGCCAGUUUAGACCGAGGACUGCGA
rnacentral:rRNA from 1 species